AUGGGAUUUUUGCUCCUUUUAGUUUUCUCUUUAGCAGCUUUGGAAGGGGUCCGGUCCCAGGUGCAGCUGGUGGAGUCCGGAGGGGAUGUGAAAAAGCCCGGAGACUCUCUCCGCCUCUCCUGCAAAGCCUCCGGGUUCACCUUCAGCAGCUACGGGAUGAGCUGGGUCCGACAGUCUCCUGGCAAAGGACUAGAAUGGGUCGCUUAUCUCAACAGCGCUGGGGGUAAUAUACAAUACCUUGAUUCAGUCAAAGGCCGAUUCACCAUCUCCAGGGGUGAUCCCAAGAGUGAGCUGUAUCUGCAAAUGACCGGCCUGAAGCCCGAGGACACCGCCCGCUAUUACUGUGCG